CGCCGGCCGAUUGUCUUAUUGCUACUCUUUACUCCAUGGACUUAGUCCUCGGUGAAUAUUGCGGAGUGUAUGUUCAAACCAUUUGAGCGCUAUAAGUGUUUUCCAUAAUGAGCAUCUCUGGAUCUCAUCUGUUGAUUCUACGCAGGUAACCAACAUGGCUGACGUCGUCUUUAAUCUGAGUGAGCUAUUGACUUCGUUUAUCUUAUUCGCUACAACGUAUCGCAGACAUUGAAAAGUUUAACGAGUGCUAAGGUGAAAUUUUGCAAUGGCGGAGUUCUUUGGUUAAGGACCACAAUUUGCAACCACGUGGAUUUGUGUUCAGUACUACUGCGAGACACCUUCGACAAUUUUCAUUAGCAAUAACCCUGCGACGGCCACUCUUUAAAAUGUCACCGACAGCCUUAUUUUCUUUUAAGAAUUUCUUGAUUGAUGAGAGUUUGGUUCGUUCGAUCUCACAGACGACAGUUUGAAAUUUUAUCAGGCCAACAAAUGAUGAGGAUGUAGCGCAGACAUGUGUGUACGAAGGUCUGUAGGUUACGCUUUAUAGCUUUGGUGGCUCUCCAAGUGUCUGACUCAUAAAAGAGAAUGGCCUUGACAUUGGAAUUGAAAAGGAAGAGUUUCGUUUUGCGGGAGAUGUCUUUAGAGUUUCAGACUGGUGGAAAGUCUUUGGGAACACAGCAAGCAUUUC